CCUACGGGCGGCAGCAGUGGGGAAUAUUGGACAAUGGGGGCAACCCUGAUCCAGCCAUGCCGCGUGUGUGAAGAAGGCCCUCGGGUUGUAAAGCACUUUCAGUGAGGAAGAACGCCUGGUGGUUAAUACCCAUCAGGAAAGACAUCACUCACAGAAGAGGCACCGGCUAACUCCGUGCCAGCAGCCGCGGUAAUACGGAGGGUGCGAGCGUUAAUCGGAAUUACUGGGCGUAAAGCGCGCGUAGGUGGCUUGAUAAGCCGGUUGUGAAAGCCCCGGGCUCAACCUGGGAACGGCAUCCGGAACUGUCAAGCUAGAGUGCAGGAGAGGAAGGUAGAAUUCCCGGUGUAGCGGUGAAAUGCGUAGAGAUCGGGAGGAAUACCAGUGGCGAAGGCGGCCUUCUGGACUGACACUGACACUGAGGUGCGAAAGCGUGGGUAGCAAACAGGAUUAGAUACCCUUGUAGUC
rnacentral:rRNA from 1 species